GAGUUUGAUCAUGGCUCAGAGUGAACGCUGGCGGCGUGCUUAACACAUGCAAGUCGAACGAUUAAGCUCUAGCUUGCUAGAGUGGAUUAGUGGCGCACGGGUGAGUAAUGUAUAGCUAAUGUGCCCCUUAGAGGGGGAUAACAGUUGGAAACGACUGCUAAUACCCCAUACUCCUUCUUCCUAUAAGGGAAGUUGGGAAAGUUUUUUCGCUAAGGGAUCGGGCUAUAUGGUAUCAGCUUGUUGGUGAGGUAAUGGCUCACCAAGGCUAUGACGCCUAUCUGGUCUGAGAGGAUGAUCAGACACACUGGAACUGAGACACGGUCCAGACUCCUACGGGAGGCAGCAGUGGGGAAUAUUACACAAUGGAGGAAACUCUGAUGUAGCAACGCCGCGUGGAGGAUGACACAUUUCGGUGCGUAAACUCCUUUUAUAUGGGAAGAUAACGACGGUACCAUAUGAAUAAGCACCGGCUAACUCCGUGCCAGCAGCCGCGGUAUAC
rnacentral:rRNA from 1 species